rnacentral:lncRNA from 1 species
UGUGGCUAGUAGGGAGAAAUCGAAACUCAGCUGUUAAAACCGCUGCCUCUGCUCUUUGGAACCCCCUCUCGAGACUCGUCCAGCGUCCCAGCCUGCGUCCCUCCCGCAGCGACGGCGGCCCCGGGGACCAGGACCGCGGGCUCUGAACCAUGUACACCCGCAGUAAAGUGGUGGGCUCCAGGCUCGGCGCCACCCCUGCCUCCCAGGACCCCAGUAGGGGGCGCGGGGAGCUGGGUCCCUUGCAAAGCCAGAGACAGGGUGUGGAGGCGGCCCCUGGGGCGCCUUGGCGGGAGAGCCUGGGCCACGCGGGCCAGGGGAGCACAGGUGCAUAUACCAUGAUUGCACCAAAUGAAAGCCGGAGACAUCAGAUACAGAGGAUUGCUGCGCAAGAACUGUCCAACCUGGAGAAGUGGAAGGAGCAGAAUAGAGCUAAACCAGUGUAUGUGGUGCCAACACUGCUGGGGGGAAGCCAGUCGGAGACUGAAGUCAGGCAGAAACAACAACUCCAACUGAAGGAAAGUAAAUACCAGCAAAAGCUAAAAAGACAAGAAUCUGUAAGAAUCAGGAAGGAAGCUGAAGAAGCUGAGCUCCAAAAAAUGAAGGCAAUUCAAAGAGAGAAGAGCAAUAAGCUAGAGGAGAAAAAGCAAGUUCAAGAAAAACUCAGAAGAGAAGCAUUCAGAGAACAUCACCAAUACACAACUGCUGCAUUCUUGAGCAAACUGGACGCAGAGUUACCAAACAGAAGUGCCUGCCAAACUGCUCCUCGUGAUCUGAAGUUCUCUACACAGCAGAAGAGUGGGAGGGGACAGAGCCCACCACCAGGCUGCUCUCAAUACAGAUCUCCAGUUGGUCACCCCAGCAUUCCCUCUGAGAGCUCCUUCAGAAGCACUGCCAACUCAGCUCUAGUUGAUCCUACGCAUGUGCUUUCCCAGGUAACUUAUUCUAUCUUCCCUUUACCUUUCAGAAAUUUCUUAAAAUCU